rnacentral:rRNA from 1 species
ACCAGACUCCUACGGGAGGCAGCAGUAGGGAAUUUUCGGCAAUGGGGGGAACCCUGACCGAGCAACGCCGCGUGAACGAAGAAGUUAUUCGUAAUGUAAAGUUCUUUUAUCAGGGAAGAAAGAGGAAUUUGACGGUACCUGAGUAAGAAGCUCCGGCUAAAUACGUGCCAGCAGCCGCGGUAAUACGUAUGGAGCAAGCGUUAUCCGGAUUUACUGGGCGUAAAGGGAGCGUAGGCGGCCUGCCAAGUCUGAUGUGAAAUACCGGGGCUCAACCCCGGGGCUGCAUUGGAAACUGGCAGGCUGGAGUGCCGGAGAGGCAGGCGGAAUUCCUAGUGUAGCGGUGAAAUGCGUAGAUAUUAGGAGGAACACCAGUGGCGAAGGCGGCCUGCUGGACGGUGACUGACGCUGAGGCUCGAAAGCGUGGGGAGCAAACAGGAUUAGAUACCCUAGUA